GAGCAGAGCCAUGGAAACCUGAAGACUUCCCCCUGGGGCUCUGGGGGGCUUCUAACCAGAGAGGUGUCCUGGGGUCGCACCUGUCGGCGCAUGUGUGUGCUUGCCUGGACAGGUCCCGCCCCCCUUCCCUCACACACAUACACCUGAUCAUGUGCUCCAGUGGAACACAGCUUGUUUGGAUAUAAGAUGAAAACUCUGCAGAAGCUGUUAUUUUUAGAAGGCUGCUUAUCUCUCCAGAAUGCCAAUUUUGGCUUGUCAUUCAUCUCAGAGCAAGCAUGGUGCAUACCCAGGGCAAAGCACCCGGUUUUGUGUUUGAAGCAACCUGCAUCUUCAGUGAAGCUCAGGACGUGGCCGACACUGGCAAACUACCUGAACUGACAGCACCCACAUCCCGAUUCAGACCAACUCAACGUGCAUUUAGAGAGUGCCUACUGCGUGCAGGAUCUUCGCUCCGAUCAUUGAGUUCUGUGAUUAAGUCAUACAUGACGUUCUGCAUCUGUUUGGAGAGACAGGGAGACGACAGGUCAUUGCAGAGGAAUCUGCAAUGGGAAAAAUGAAAUACUCCUCCAGAUUACACUUGAAAUACAACUCCUCCAGGGAUCAACUUCCACACCGGCCGUGUCGGAUCUGGCCAAGGACAGAGAAACAGUUUACUUUCUUGAAGACUUGGAGGCUCAAAUGGCACAGGCGGGGACCUUCGCCUGUUGUGUUCACGGAUGUGUCCCAAGGGCUUAAAACAGCAUCUGGCACCCAGGGGAUGCUCAACGAACAUUGUUUGAUGGACAAGUGUACAUAAACAUGCCUAGCAAGGGGGUCUGUCCCACGUGGUCGGCACUAAAAGACGUUGGUAGAACUAAUGAAUGAAUAAAUUGCUGGCACAGGGGAAAAUCACCGUCCCUUCCAUCCUUUGGCCAAUGUAGGAGUUUAACUGAUGGGAAAAGACCUUUUGCGCCACAAAUUAUUUCCAUAUACCUAGAGAGUUUCUCAGCAUUUCCCACCGAGACCUGAGUGGCUGAAGGAAAGGAGAGAAGACUCCCGAGGGGGCCCAGCCCAGGGCCUGCCUCUGGAGAGCAGGUGUUCCGUAAGCUUUUGUGAAUGAACAUUGAACAAGGUCGUGAGAGCAGGGGAGCAAA